UUUCUAACUACCGAUCAUCCAAGCAUAUCCGCUAAACUUUGACCACAUAGAUGAAUAAGAAUAAAAUUUCUCGGUGGAUUAUACAUCUGCCAAACUCUGAUCAAGUGUUUGUUGUUCAUAUUUUACUAUUAUACAUGUUUUUUAGUUUAUCUGACCAUCCAACACUGAACACAUGGUUAAAAUUAAUAUACUCAAGCAUUUCUAUACAAAGCUUGAAGAAAGAGAAGAACAUGACAAGUAAAGUAUCCAUCAAAGAUUGUAUGUAUGGAUGAUGGCAAGUAUGUUGACUAACUCGGUGUUAUUAACUUUCAUAAGUACUACGAUGAACUAGUGCUUAUGGUAAAAUGGACAAGUGUUUAUGGCCGAAUCCAAAUGGAUGAUCUGAAAGAGUUUAGAGAACCUUAAAUCCAUUAUGGUGUUGCUGGUUGUGAUGGUGUCCCAAGCCUGCAACAAGUCUUGAUGAUUUUCAAUUAGCCGACAAUACAUAUGGUCUUCACCAAACACAUACAAUUACCCAAUUUAUAAUAGACAUUGCUUCUCUUGUUUGUCCAAGAAUCAAGAACAACCUUUUUAAAUAAAUUAGAAACUUUUGAGUUUUUACAUGUCAAAAAACAUAAUUAUUGUGAACAUAUUAGAUAAUGGAUAUGAACGAAAGAAUAGUUAAAAGAAAUAAUACAUAACGCACCCAUAUGGUAGACAUAACGUAUCCAUAUGGAACUGACCAAUCUUAUCAUAUGCCCAUUUAAAGCUUACCAAUCCAAUUCAAACGUAUGGACACAAGUUUAUACAUGAAAAAUAAUCGCCAAUUUAAAUUUACAUCGUUCAUUUUUUUUGACCAUUUAUUCUCUUCUGUAUGUCCUAUUAUUAUAUAUCUGCCAAACUCUGAUCGAGUGUUUGUUGUAACAACACCAAUCACGUCGUGGUGUGUAAGUAACUUCGUUUAAAUGAAUAACACUAAACCCUUACAUCUACCUUAUAAAUCCAAACCGAUAUGCUAUUUUAAAAAAAUUUAUAACACUAAACCCUAACUCCUACCUUAUAAACCCAAACUAAUAUGUAAAUUUGUUUAAAUUUAUAACACUAAACUCUAACUCCCUUCCCUAAAACCAUCACCCAUCAAUACAAUAAUAACACCUUGUUUCUCUCCAGGAUUGACACCUCAGAUUUUUCAGAUGUUCUCAGCUUGACAAAUCAGUAAAAAUCAGCACUUCAAUAUUCCACGUCACCUUGGAGACCCAGAAUCCCUAGCCGCUCUAGAAAACAAAAAGCUUUCAACUUGUUUCUCGAAUCGGUGGUUUCUCAAAUCGAAGAUUAAAGAUGAUGAAGAAGAAGAAUUCGAUCACAUGACAUUGAUCGAGAACACACUUAGUUCUAUAUGUAAUUUCUCCAACGACAUCAUCUCUGGCAAGAUAAAGCCACCAUCUUCUCCUGAGUGAGUGUCAUUUUACUCGGAUACUUUCUGUAGGCAUCCUCCGUUGAAGGUUUUGGAAUCUCACCGUCUUUACAAUGCUUGCUUGCUUAAUAUCUGUUUCUUCCAAUGAGGAGCAGGCUGGAACUUGUUAUUUUUUCUUUGCGGUGUAUUCCGAGGAAAAAGGGAGAGACGUCAAGUGUUUGAUGAUGACGUAAAUUUCUUGGCAUAAGUGAAAUCUGGAAAUUUGAGAUCAGAUUAUGGAAAUGCCUAUUUCAUCACAGGUAUUUGACUCUCUGUUCUUCAUUACCUCGGAAUGGGAUUCUAAGAGUACAAGAACUAUAAAGUGAAAUUGUUCCUCUAUUUUGGCAGAGAUUCAUUAUAGCUAAACUCAUAAAGCUUUCCCAUUAUUCAAACUAAGCUCAUACACUAACUGUUUGAACUUGAAUGCUUAGCAAUCUUCACUUCUGCUUUUACUCGGAUGAUUGCAUCUUCGAGGACCUGACUUAUCAGCUUUGAAGGUACAGAGUUGUACUAACAUGACUUGAGGUUACGGGUUCGGUGGUUUCUGUUCCACAAAGAUGCAUCAUCCAUUGUACUGCAAAAUAUUGAGAAGGAUUGAGAAAGUUUCAGAAGAACAUCACAAUGGAAGAGUGAAGGUGAUGAGAGAGAGCCAUGGAAUCUCCAUUUUGUUUUAUAGGCAAAUGUUUUCUCAGGGUGUAUGCAAGUAUAUUAGCUUCAUGUGUACUAUGGUUCUUUUGAGUAAUAAUAAUAUUCAUCAAGUAAAACGAUUAAAUUU